UCCCUACGGGGCGCAGCAGUGGGGGAUAUUGCACAAUGGGGGGAACCCUGAUGCAGCGACGCCGCGUGGGUGAAGAAGUAUUUCGGUAUGUAAAGCCCUAUCGGCAGGGAAGAAUUUAGACGGUACCUGACUAAGAAGCCCCGGCUAACUACGUGCCAGCAGCCGCGGUAAUACGUAGGGGGCAAGCGUUAUCCGGAUUCACUGGGUGUAAAGGGAGCGUAGACGGCAGAGCAAGUCUGAAGUGAAAGCCCGCGGCCCAACUGCGGGACUGCUUUGGAAACUGCCCGGCUAGAGUGCUGGAGAGG
rnacentral:rRNA from 1 species